rnacentral:rRNA from 1 species
AUUGAACGCUGGCGGCAGGCCUAACACAUGCAAGUCGAACGAGUGGCGGACGGGUGAGUUAUGUCUGGGAAACUGCCCGAUGGAGGGGGAUAACUACUGGAAACGGUAGCUAAUACCGCAUACCAUCGGAUGUGCCCAGAUGGGAUUGGCUAGUAGGUGGGGUAACGGCUCACCUAGGCGACGAUCCCUAGCUGGUCUGAGAGGAUUACAAGCAACACUGGAACUGAGACACGGUCCAGAAUCCUACGUGAGGCAGCAGUGGGGAAGAUUGCGGAAGGGGCGCAAGCCUAAUGCAGCCAUGCCGCGUGUAUGAAGGAGGCCUUCGGGUUGUAAAGUACUUUAAGCGGGGAGGCGUUACCUGCAGAAGAAGCACCGGCUAACUCCGUGCCAGCCGCCGCGGUAAUAC